GAUGGAGAACGUAGCGAAAUGCGAUAAGUAAUGUGAAUUGCAGAAUUCAGUGAAUCAUCGAAUCUUUGAACGCACCUUGCGCUCCUUGGUAUUCCGAGGAGCAUGCCUGUUUGAGUGUCAUUAAAUUCUCAACCUUAUUGGCUUUUGCUGAUAAUGGCUUGGACUUGGGGGUCUUUUUGCUGGCUUUCAUUAGUCUGCUCCCCUUAAAUGUAUUAGCCGGUGCCCCGCAGUGGAACCGUCUAUUGGUGUGAUAAUUAUCUACGCCGUGGACGUCUGCUAUAAUGGGUUUGCGCUGCUUCUAACCGUCUCUCGGGACAACACAAAUGACAAUUUGACCUCAAAUCAGGUAGGACUACCCGCUGAACUUAAGCAUAUCAAUAAGCGGAGGA
rnacentral:misc_RNA from 1 species